AACACGUGGGGAACCUGCUCCAUAGUCUGGGAUACCACUUGGAAACAGGUGCUAAUACCGGAUAAGAAAGCGGAUCGUAUGAUCAGCUUUUAAAAGGCGGCGUAAGCUGUCGCUAUGGGAUGGCCCCGCGGUGCAUUAGCUAGUUGGUAAGGUAAAGGCUUACCAAGGCGAUGAUGCAUAGCCGAGUUGAGAGACUGAUCGGCCACAUUGGGACUGAGACACGGCCCAAACUCCUACGGGAGGCAGCAGCC
rnacentral:rRNA from 1 species